GGCGGACGGGUGAGUAAUGUCUGGGAAACUGCCUGAUGGAGGGGGAUAACUACUGGAAACGGUAGCUAAUACCGCAUAACGUCGCAAGACCAAAGAGGGGGACCUUCGGGCCUCUUGCCAUCAGAUGUGCCCAGAUGGGAUUAGCUAGUAGGUGGGGUAACGGCUCACCUAGGCGACGAUCCCUAGCUGGUCUGAGAGGAUGACCAGCCACACUGGAACUGAGACACGGUCCAGACUCCUACGGGAGGCAGCAGUGGGGAAUAUUGCACAAUGGGCGCAAGCCUGAUGCAGCCAUGCCGCGUGUAUGAAGAAGGCCUUCGGGUUGUAAAGUACUUUCAGCGGGGAGGAAGGUGUUGUGGUUAAUAACC
rnacentral:rRNA from 1 species